UACACAUUUUGUUUCUGGUAAACUGGGGGCACCAAAUAUUCUGGUCAAAGGGAUCGUUCUACUCACUGAUUCCAAGUCUUUCAAGUCUGGAUGAAUUUGUCCCAAAUACCUCUGCUGCAAUUGGGCAAAAAGGCCAAUUCCUUCUAAUCAUUGCAUCAUGUUUGAAAAUGGUUUUUGAGUCAUAUUGCAGCAGGCGUAUAAUUUCUCACAUGGGGCCUGGCCAUAGUUCAAUCAAUAUAUUUGUGUCACACUUGAUGCACAUUAAGUGGAAUUGGUUGUAGUUACGGUUUUCAGAUGAAGGGCUAUUAUUAGCGUCAUUUGAGGCUUGUCAGUCUUAAAGCUGGAGCUCCUUUUCCUUUGUGAAACUUUCUGAACAGGUGAUGCAGUAUUUUAUGAAAUGUUUGAGUAAAUGCAUCCCUCCGGUGUAGAGAUUUAUGAUUACUUGUUAUAAAUAUUUAUUAAAAUUAUAAUAAAAAAUCAUAAUUCCGAAGUAAUAGAUUCUAAUCAUAAAUCCUUCCUUACAAAUAAAGAUCAGAGAUACACUCUAGUGAGGGUUCACAGCACUUAAUAAUUACAAUUAGUUAAUUAUCAUUUAAAAUCAAUAAUUAUUAACCAAAACCUCGCUAAAUGUCACUAUGUUAUUAACCAUUUUCCCAAAUGGUGAGGAUACUAACCUUAUUUUGACAGAUAAUCACUCUUAAACAAAAUACACACAAACGCUCUCUUUAUCUAUGUGAAAAUAUAUUAAACCGAGUCUUUAAGACUAUUACAACCCACUAUCCUGGUCCAACAACUUUCACCUAAUCAAGCAUGCACUAUUGUACAAAGUGGCAAAUUAACAAUCAAAAAUAAAGAUGCAUACUAAGUAUAGAUGAAGAUCAAACCAGCAGUUUAUGGACUGAAUGGGAAUGAGACAACAAUUUGGACUGACCUGGAAAAAUGGAGCAGAAUUAAUAACAGUGAAGCUUUCUUUGGUCCGUUGAUGUGUCUCGAUAGCGGCUGUCGGCUGUUAUACGGUAGAGGCAGGCCAGCUCAAGCAUCUAGUAGCCGGUGCCUUAGCCACUAACAGCUGAUAGCGGGCUAGUCUCGAAACAAAGGGUCACAAAACUCUGAGGUGGGAACCCAGUGGAAAAACACAAAGGCCAUAAAUGGUGGAACAAUGCAGAUGAACUCGAGGCUGGAUGUUCAAGUGGUUGUGAUUUUCUGUCAUUCCAGCAGCUAUCUUAUGGAACAGGGGAAAAAAGGCAGGGUUUGAGCUUAAACGCUGCAAAACAAGUAUUUUAAAGGACCCUAAUGAUCAACAGAGAGUGUCAAACAGCAGCUGCAGACCCUAAUACACUUUUUUAAUGAGUAGAACAGUUUUUAUGAACUAACACUCGUAUAACCAAACAUCUUUGCCUGACACCUCAAAAUCUAACUCAACCAGCACUUCUCAACCACACCAACUGUAACAUUCCUGUAAGGUCUGCAGCCUGUAUUCUGCUUCACUGUGAAAACCCAUUAAUGCUGAUUUACCGCAAACACCACGACCAGUGUUGUGCUUGUUUACUGGCCCUGCUCUUCUCUGGAGAGGUGACACACUUGUUUAUGGAUGGAGUGUGUCACUGAUCAAUCCUUCAUAUCCCAGUGGCCCACGGAAAACUGCCUCCUUUUAAGCUUUUAAGGAAACAGAUACUCGCCAAGGCUUAACUUAGUCCUGAAGAAGUGCAGAUUCCAGGUCAACGUCUAUGGCGAGGGAUGGGUGACCUGUAUGUGUUUCCAGCUCUUUGCUUUGCCUUGUUGCAACCAGAGGGGUUUAAUGUGUCAGAAGCAGCUGAGUUCUGACUGGGUUUGCCUCUGAAGUGUCAGAUGUGAGUUUUGUUUACAAUAAAAAACAUGUUUAAUUACCUCCGUUGAGAAAUAACCCUUCCUUUCUGCAGCUGCGUUUUGUUUUUGACUGUUCAACAAAUAAAGAGGCCUCCAUGUGACAUGUUUUUUUUGGGAGGAAGUGAGUAAUUUUCUGCUCUUUGGGGCUGACUCGGUUAAGAGAAGUUUUCUUUAAAACCAGGGGAAGUAGAUGUGGGGGGUGCGAGCUUGAACUGCUCCAUGCUGACAGGGUGGAGUAAACACAGCGGUUUUUGAUUUAUCCCUUCCAAUCAUUUUGCUGUGGGUUUACCAGGAACCCCCACACCAUCACCACCACCCUGCACCACAAUGCACUUUCUCUCCCUCUGCACAGUCGCCCUAACAACCGCUUCAGCUCAGCUCUUUCUUCUAAUCGCUGUGGCAACUGUUUCAGACCAGGGUCUCCAUGGCAACACCCUGUCCCAAUUCAUCAAGGACGGAAGAGGGUAUCAUUGGAGCAAACACAAUAACUGAAUGGACAGUUGACAUGCACACCCUCAGAAAUACUCUUGCUUCCUGUACAUUCAUUCUCUCACAUAUAUGACCUUUAGCUUUCUUCCAUAUGUUUGUUAUAAUAGUAAAAAAGGCCUGUUUGUAUAGCUAUGCUUCAGAUAUAUGAAAACCUUAAAAUAAAGAUGGAAGAAAAAAUGAUUAAAGUUUUAGAAUGACUUAGUCAAAGUCUGGACCUAAACUUGACUAACUUGCUUUUGGCCCUAAACAGUAAAUUUGCACCUUUUAAGACAGAACGGAUUUGUCCUUCAGCAAUAGAAGCGCCAGCGUCUCAUAAUAGGUCGGGUUGAAGAGGAUUGGUUUGCGUCCAUGUUUGUUAGAUGGUACCUUAUGUGUGUUAACCCAGAAACAUUCUGGACUACCUAACGAACCAAAAGCUAAUUCUGUAUUCAAAGCAUUUACCCGAUUAUAAAUAACACUAGAAACUGUGAAGCAUGAGCAAACAACAAGUAGUCCAAGAAGCUGAUAUGUCAAAUCUAGAAACUUUCUGUAACAAACCAACAGCUAUACUAGCUGUUAACUCUACUGAACAUUAGCAAUGCAAAUUUGGAAACUUACACUGUGAAAUGGAAAGAUUAUCAGAUUUGCAGUCCACCUUUAUAACAUAAAUAAUCAUUUAACUAAUUAUGAGCUGUGCUACCAAAUUCAUGUUGGAAACCCCCACUGUUUGGGAACAAAACAGUUAACAGUUAAGUCACUCAACUUCAAAGAAACUAACUCCAAUAUGGUAGCUCUUUUGCUAACCCUGAAAUGCAUCGGCCUAGCUGCUAGACAAAAUGCUAGCUUGGCUAAAUAUUUGCACUAAAUGGAACCAAAAGCUGAACUGAUGUUUGGAUAUUUUUGUUCAUGAUAAAAUCAUGAUUGAGACACAGUUUGAAAUGAGAUAGUACCAUCUCCAAGAUGUAUUGUCCAAACACAAGCUGCUAGCUCUGCUGUGUAUUAGCACUCCAUGAUUGGCAGCCCAAUAAACACAACAAAAAGUUUACAUUGAAUCCCAGAAGCCGAACCAGCUGAGCCUAAAACCUUUAUAGUAUCCAUGACAGUAAAGUUGUUUUCCAACUAAACAAAUUAUAAAAUUUUAAUAAUAAUGAUGUACUUGGCUGCUGAAAAAUCUUGAAAUAAUUUCUUACUGGUGUGAGUUAUAAUAAUACCGGGUAGACUUUUCAGUACAUCCGCUGGUCUCUCGGCCUCAGUGUUCUGUUGACCAGAUGUGUCGGGGUUUUGGUUUCUGUGUGUGUGUUUGUGUUUUUGUCUGCACUUUGUUUUCAGUUUCCAGAUGGUGCUGGAGUUUCUCAGGUGUGCUGGGUGACAGGUGCGACUGAUCUGCUGAUUGCAUUGGAGGAGUACUUAAGCAGGAGGCUGCCAGCACUUCGAUGCCAGAGUGUUUGUCUUCAGUGGUAACAAGCUCAGCCACCUCUAAGCUAUGCUUUGUUUCUGGUCUCUAAGCUAAUGUUGUUUAUGUUCCUUCACAGGCAGAAACUGAACCUUCUGAUCAUUCUUCGUUGAACAUUGACUUCGGUCCCAGAAGUUUCUGGAUGAUCGAGAUGACCUAUGUUUGUUGGAUUUCGUUUCCAAGGAUCAAGCUGGCAGCUUCUUGUUGUCCUACGUCUCCUGAACCAAGGCAGACGCGUACCCUGUCCACCCUCCAACGCAAGUACCUGAACAUUGAAUUAACUCCUGAACUCGCCAGUACUCACUCUUUAGGUCAAGCAAAACCAUCUGGAUUACUCCGGUUCGCACACCUGGGUCCCAACACCCUCUACCCCUGGCGACCUGAUGGCAAUUGUUUAUUGGCGAAUUUACCCGUUCAUGUCCCAGACUCACUGGCUGUAAAUAAACACCUUUCACUUA